UAAGUAGAGAACGUGACCGACAAUCGUAAAGCGAUUUAGAAAUGAGGACCAGAAAAAGAUCACACAACACAGUCCAACGAACAUCAAUUUGUACCGGUUUCUCUUUCCCUAGGCUACUUAGACUAUCGCUGGACUCAACUUCGUCAACAAGCACUGCAUCAAGGCUACUGACUGUUUGAGCUCUAUGGGCAGAAACUAAAAUCUUGGACAAGUCAUCUAUUUGGACUGAAUGUUUGUGAAGAUUUUCUAUCAUCUUCUGUUCCUCUACUGUGACGCCGAGAUGUUC